rnacentral:rRNA from 1 species
GAUGAACGCUGGCGGCGUGCCUAAUACAUGCAAGUCGAGCGAAUGGAUUAAGAGCUUGCUCUUAUGAAGUUAGCGGCGGACGGGUGAGUAACACGUGGGUAACCUGCCCAUAAGACUGGGAUAACUCCGGGAAACCGGGGCUAAUACCGGAUAACAUUUUGAACAGCAUGGUUCGAAAUUGAAAGGCGGCUUCGGCUGUCACUUAUGGAUGGACCCGCGUCGCAUUAGCUAGUUGGUGAGGUAACGGCUCACCAAGGCAACGUUGCGUAGCCGAACUGAGAGGGUAAUCGGCCACACUGGGACUGAGACACGGCCCAGAGUCCUACGGGAGGCAGCAGUAGGGAAUCGUCCGGAAUGGACGAAAGUCUGACGGAGCAACGCCGCGUGAGUGAUGAAGGCUUUCGGGUCGUAAAACUCUGUUGUUAGGGAAGAACCAGUGCUAGUUGAAUAAGCUGGCACCUUGACGGUAUCUAACCAGAAAGCCACGGCUAACUACGUGCCAGCCGCCGCAGUAA